UACAUAGGGGGCAAGCGUUGUCCGGAAUCAUUGGGCGUAAAGCGCGUGUAGGCGGCCCGGUAAGUCCGCUGUGAAAGUCCAGGGCUCAACCCUGGGAUGCCGGUGGAUACUGUCGGGCUCGAGUCCGGAAGAGGCGAGUGGAAUUCCUGGUGUAGCGGUGAAAUGCGUAGAUAUCUGGAGGAACACCGGUGGCGAAGGCGGCAUCCUGGACCGGUAGUUGACGCGUGAUGCGCGAAAGCCAGGG
rnacentral:rRNA from 1 species